rnacentral:rRNA from 1 species
CCUACGGGAGGCUGCAGUGGGGAAUAUUGGACAAUGGGGGCAACCCUGAUCCAGCCAUGCCGCGUGUGUGAAGAAGGCCCUCGGGUUGUAAAGCACUUUCAGUGAGGAAGAACGCCUGGUGGUUAAUACCCAUCAGGAAAGACAUCACUCACAGAAGAAGCACCGGCUAACUCCGUGCCAGCAGCCGCGGUAAUACGGAGGGUGCGAGCGUUAAUCGGAAUUACUGGGCGUAAAGCGCGCGUAGGUGGCUUGAUAAGCCGGUUGUGAAAGCCCCGGGCUCAACCUGGGAACGGCAUCCGGAACUGGCAAGCUAGAGUGCAGGAGAGGAAGGUAGAAUUCCCGGUGUAGCGGUGAAAUGCGUAGAGAUCGGGAGGAAUACCAGUGGCGAAGGCGGCCUUCUGGACUGACACUGACACUGAGGUGCGAAAGCGUGGGUAGCAAACAGGAUUAGAUACCCCUGUAGUC